GUGAGGAAUAUUGGUCAAUGGACGAGAGUCUGAACCAGCCAAGUAGCGUGAAGGAUGAAGGUCCUACGGAUUGUAAACUUCUUUUAUAAGGGAAUAAAACCUCCCACGUGUGGGAGCUUGUAUGUACCUUAUGAAUAAGCAUCGGCUAACUCCGUGCCAGCAGCCGCGGUAAUACGGAGGAUGCAAGCGUUAUCCGGAUUUAUUGGGUUUAAAGGGAGCGCAGACGGGUCGUUAAGUCAGCUGUGAAAGUUUGGGGCUCAACCUUAAAAUUGCAGUUGAUACUUGCGUGCUUGAGUGCGGUUGAGGUGUGCGGAAUUCGUGGUGUAGCGGUGAAAUGCUUAGAUAUCACGAAGAACUCCGAUUGCGAAGGCAGCACACUAAUCCGUAACUGACGUUCAUGCUCGAAAGUGUGGGUAUCAAACAGGAUUAGAAACCCCGGUAGUCC
rnacentral:rRNA from 1 species